rnacentral:misc_RNA from 1 species
UUGUACUUUUACCUAGC